GCCUGGGCGACAGAGUAAGAUCCUGUCUCAGAGAGAGAGAGAGAGAGAUUGAGAAGAGAGAAGUGCAAGAUCACACUUCUGCAGCUCUUUUUUUCUCCUUCUGGCACAUUUUUCAUUUUUAAGACCCCACGUCCUCCAUAUAUGCUUUCCUGGCCCACCCAUUUCCCUCCUCCCCUUACACAGAUGGAGAACUUCCUUUCUGGUGUUCUCUCAGCACUCAGCACAGAUUGCUAGUGCUUUUAUGUGCUGAGCCUUUCCCUUCAACCUGGACUGAAAGAGGAUGGCAAUCUCGCUGAAGCUGUUUCUUUUUCUUCACAACAUAUAGGAAAGUGUUGCCCCUUUUUGGAGUGGUGCAUAGGACGAUGACUAUAGAUUUUCAUCUGUAACUCCUAAAAACUUACUCAGGGGCCAUAAAGAAAAUUGAUGAGGACAACUGGCCUCCCAGUAUGUGGAUUCAGUUUCCAUAUGUCAAUUUACCAACUCCCACUGGUAGUCUGAAGAGAUAUGGCUACUGGAGAACAGAAAAUCACCAGUAUUAAUAAAAGCAAUUUUAAGUGUUUACCUUUUAGUAUUUGAAUAGCUUUGUUAAAGAGACGUACUCAAGAAUACUAUGAAGAGACUCUUAUUGUACUCCUUACCUGGAGAUAAUUGUGAUGCCAGAAAUUCAAAUUUAUAUUCAACAAUAUGGUUUUUCAACCAUCAAUAUUAUAAACAUCUAGGCAGUGUCUAUUGUUUGCGCAUUUGCCAUCCUCUAAAAUGAGAUUAUUCUAAGCAUAAAUUAUACUUCAUCAUUCAAGAUUAUAAACAUUUAUAAUAAUCAUAAUAUUCACAGACAUUUCCCUGCUCUCAAAUCACUAGAGCUAAUAGGCAAAGUAGAUACAGCUACAAACAGUGGGAGAAAAUAUUUCUGGCUGACCUACAAAUAGCUGUGCAAUAAUGUAGAGAGGAAAAUAUAGUCUCACUUACAGUGUCUGAAAUUGAGUUUCCCUCUUUAAAGGACAAAGUAAUUUUCAAAAAUAUUUGAGUAUUAUUCUGUGUAAAAAAUCUCUGUUUUAACUGGCUUAUUGAAUUGUAUUUCUUUAUUGUGUUUGUAUUCACUUUUCCAUUUGUGGGUGGAAUUUAUUAUAAUUACCAGUUUUAUACUGAAUGAAACAAAAAUCUCAUAGAUUUAAUAAAACUUUAAAUUCCUUGUCAUUAAUAAUAAAAUGUAUAUGCUUUCUCUAAUAAGUCCAUACUUUAUUGUUUAAAACCUGUUUUUCCUCUUUCUCAAGCACAUGGAUUGUUAAUUUAAAUUCUGAAAUAAAGCCAAUUAAUCCAUAAACAUGGACUGUGGAUAAUGUCGAUAUUACAUGUAAAUUUCUCAGUGUGUGUUUCGUGGACCCAAUAGCAUCAGCAUUAGCUGGGGACUUACGAGGUGGCCUGUGCCUGUAGUCCCAGCUACUCAGGAGGCUGAGGCAGGAGAAUCGCU
rnacentral:lncRNA from 10 species